rnacentral:rRNA from 1 species
AGUGAACGCUGGCGGUAGGCCUAACACAUGCAAGUCGAACGGCAGCACAGUAAGAGCUUGCUCUUACGGGUGACGAGUGGCGGACGGGUGAGGAAUACAUCGGAAUCUACUUUUUCGUGGGGGUUAAGGAAGGAAGCUUUCGCCAAUACCCCCAUAGAACUUCGGGUUAAAAGCAGGGAAUCUUCGAACCUUGCCGGUUUAAUGAAGCGGAUGUCGGAUUAGCUAGUUGGCGGGGUAAAGGCCCACCAAGGCGACGAUCCGUAGCUGGUCUGAGAGGAUGAUCAGCCACACUGGAACUGAGACACGGUCCAGACUCCUACGGGAGGCAGCAGUGGGGAAUAUUGGACAAUGGGCGCAAGCCUGAUCCAGCCAUACCGCGUGGGUGAAGAAGGCCUUCGGGUUGUAAAGCCCUUUUGUUGGGAAAGAAAAGCAGCAGGUUAAUACCCCGCUGUUCUGACGGUACCCAAAGAAUAAGCACCGGCUAACUUCGUG